CCGGCAACUGGCGCGGCGGAACUACCGGCAGGCUUAUGUCCUGCCCAAUUCGGCGAAAUCGGCGCUGCUGCUGUUCUUCGCCGGCAUUCCCGAAC
rnacentral:tRNA from 1 species